GACGAACGCUGGCGGCGUGCUUAACACAUGCAAGUCGAACGGAAAGGCCCUGCUUUUGUGGGGUGCUCGAGUGGCGAACGGGUGAGUAACACGUGAGUAACCUGCCCUUGACUUUGGGAUAACUUCAGGAAACUGGGGCUAAUACCGGAUAGGAGCUCCUGCUGCAUGGUGGGGGUGGAAAGGUUCGGCGGUUGGGGAUGGACUCGCGGCUUAUCAGCUUGUUGGGGGGGGAGUGGCUUACCAAGGCUUUGACGGGUAGCCGGCCCGAGAGGGUGACCGGCCACAUUGGGACUGAGAUACGGCCCAGACUCCUACGGGAGGCAGCAGUGGGGAAUAUUGCACAAUGGGCGGAAGCCUGAUGCAGCAACGCCGCGUGCGGGAUGACGGCCUUCGGGUUGUAAACCGCUUUCGCCUGUGACGAAGCGUGAGUGACGGUAAUGGGUAAAGAAGCACCGGCUAACUACGUG
rnacentral:rRNA from 1 species